GGAGAAGGGGAGGGAUGACGAGAUGGAAGCCAAGAAAAGGCAGUAUCUAGGAUGAAAGUGGCAACAGAGAGAAGGGAGGGCAUGACAUAACAAAGGUAAGGACAUGUCAAGAAAGAAUGUCUUAGUUGGUAAGAAAUGAGCAGGUAACAAAGAAAGGCUGGAACCCAGCAUAGCAACCAAGGCUCACAUGCAAAACAGAAGGAAACUGCAACACCAGUGAAGAUCACCAUCUCCUCGGUUCAUCCUACCUCAUAGCUGCGCCUAUCCUGGGAGAUUUUAUUUCACCCUGAUGGCAAAAUGGUCAAUAAAAGUCUCUGUGUCUCUUGCUCUCGUGCUCCCCCUUCUCUCUCACCGAGACUAUGACCUAGCAGCUUGGAGACUGAACUGCAACAUCAGGAAUGGAAAAGAAAGCUGGAGUGGCAACAGCAAUGUCAUGUUCAGAGGACAAGGCUCAGGGAUCUUCAUUUCUGCUUCAUGCUUGAUCUGGGGCACCACAUUCUAUUUGCAACCCUACCUCAGUGUUUCCCACCCCCAGCUUUCACCCUGGAGCCUUCAACAGAGGCAGAGAGGAGAGGAAGAGAAAGGAUCACAGGUUCUCUGUGGAAUGUGAAUUACAUUGUCAACUUCCUUUAUACUUUCUGAUUCUAACUAUUCACUGGGAAAUACCACUGACCAGCUCAAAGGAUUUACUGCCCUUUUCUUCACCUCGCUACUAAAAAGUAUCAAGUUUAAAUUAUUAUAGCUUUCCAUUAGCUUCUGUUUUCUUAAUUAAGAGAAUCUGGGCUCCCCCCAUUCCUAAAUUAUAGAGAAAUGGG